rnacentral:rRNA from 1 species
CAGUCGCCGCGGGAAUACAGAGGGUGCGAGCGUUAAUCGGAUUUACUGGGCGUAAAGCGUGCGUAGGCGGCUUUUUAAGUCGGAUGUGAAAUCCCUGAGCUUAACUUAGGAAUUGCAUUCGAUACUGGGAAGCUAGAGUAUGGGAGAGGAUGGUAGAAUUCCAGGUGUAGCGGUGAAAUGCGUAGAGAUCUGGAGGAAUACCGAUGGCGAAGGCAGCCAUCUGGCCUAAUACUGACGCUGAGGUACGAAAGCAUGGGGAGCAAACAGGAUUAGAUACCCCCGUAGUCUGUCUCUUAUACAC